UACGUAGGGUGCAAGCGUUGUCCGGAAUUAUUGGGCGUAAAGAGCUCGUAGGCGGUUUGUCGCGUCUGCUGUGAAAUCCCGAGGCUCAACCUCGGGUCUGCAGUCGAUACGGGCAAACUAGAGUAUUGCAGGGGAGACUGGAAUUCCUGGUGUAGCGGUGAAAUGCGCAGAUAUCAGGAGGAACACCGGUGGCGAAGGCGGGUCUCUGGGCAAUAACUGACGCUGAGGAGCGAAAGCGUGGGGGAGCGAACAGG
rnacentral:rRNA from 1 species